GGUUAAGCGACUAAGCGUACACGGUGGAUGCCCUGGCAGUCAGAGGCGAUGAAGGACGUGCUAAUCUGCGAUAAGCGUCGGUAAGGUGAUAUGAACCGUUAUAACCGGCGAUUUCCGAAUGGGGAAACCCAGUGUGAUUCGUCACACUAUCAUUAACUGAAUCCAUAGGUUAAUGAGGCGAACCGGGGGAACUGAAACAUCUAAGUACCCCGAGGAAAAGAAAUCAACCGAGAUUCCCCCAGUAGCGGCGAGCGAACGGGGAGCAGCCCAGAGCCUGAAUCAGUGUGUGUGUUAGUGGAAGCGUCUGGAAAGGCGCGCGAUACAGGGUGACAGCCCCGUACACAAAAAUUCACAUGCUGUGAGCUCGAUGAGUAGGGCGGGACACGUGGUAUCCUGUCUGAAUAUGGGGGGACCAUCCUCCAAGGCUAAAUACUCCUGACUGACCGAUAGUGAACCAGUACCGUGAG
rnacentral:rRNA from 1 species